ACGUACUCACUGUACCAACACAAGAUAUUAUAAAGUGGUUUGAUUAUUUUGGUUACAGAUGGGUGCCAGUUGCUACCUGUGGGGCAUAGGUUUAUGGUACACACUAUUUUCAGGAAGGAAGCUAGUUUAGCUGUAGCUGUUUAGUAGAAAUUGGCUUUCAUAUACAUAAGAUAUCAGCUUUUGAGUCACACCUCCUUCUGGAGCCACUCUUUUCUUGUGUUAAUUAUAGAUAUAGGGUACAAGUCCACUGGUGGAACUGAUACCACCUUACUGACCUCAGCCUCUAGUCCACCAUGUGUGGCUUUAGAAGCAAAAAACAUUUCUUGUGCUGUUUAUAGACGUAGACUGUGCAGUUACCCACGUUGCUCACAUUCCUGUUUGGCCCUUUACAGUGUCUUCAUUAUAUUUUGUUUUUACCUGUGUGCAAAAUAAAUAUCACAUUUUACCAUCACUGGUUAUCAUAUCCCUAAGCAAUAGCUGGUUCUAAAUACAGA